UACGUAGGGGGCUAGCGUUGUCCGGAAUCAUUGGGCGUAAAGCGCGUGUAGGCGGUUCGGUAAGUCCGCUGUGAAAGUCGGGGGCUCAACCCUCGGAAGCCGGUGGAUACUGUCGGGCUAGAGUACGGAAGAGGCGAGUGGAAUUCCUGGUGUAGCGGUGAAAUGCGCAGAUAUCAGGAAGAACACCUAUGGCGAAGGCAGCUCUCUGGGACGGUACUGACGCUGAGACGCGAAAGCGUGGGGAGCGAACAGG
rnacentral:rRNA from 1 species